GCCGGGUGUGGUGGCGGGCACCUGUAAUCCCAGCUACUCGGGAGGCUGAGGCAGGAUAAUUGCUUGAGCCCAGGAGACGGAGGUUGCAGUGAGCCGACACGGUGCCACUGCACUCCAGCCUGGUCAACAGAGUGGGACUCUGUCUCAA
rfam:Homo sapiens chromosome 15, GRCh38 reference primary assembly.